GCAGCAGCAGUCGGCCGCAGUCGCAGUCCUAAUCAGUGCGUCUGGAGACACCGAGUAAGGAGCAUGUGUGCGUGGUGCGCGGCCCCAGGAGGCAGCGUGCUGCUCCUGACGGUGAAGUGCCCCUCGGCCACCGGCUACGAGGGGGGCCCGGCGUGGACAACCUGCUGUCCGCGGCCGAGGCAGCGCAGCCGUACCUCGGCGGUAACAUCGGCGCUGCCCCGUGCGCACCCCGACACCUCUGUGGAGUGCAGCAACCGUCUGUGCACAGAAGAAGACCAAAUACUACAAACGCAGUUGAAGACUGUUCCUAUGGGUACCGCACAACAUCAAGUGUCCCAGACAUCAUAAAUUCGAUACCUUAGACCGAAAAUGACGCAGUUCAGCUGCGCGUUCCGAAAGGGACGCAGUUCAGCCACCCGUUGCCAGACUCACUUCUUCGUACAGCAGUAGUUAUUCACGAUUUGUUUGAGUUUGGUCAGUUCCAUCCGUGCCGACUCCACUUGCUCCAUCCCCCCGUGUCUUUUUCACGUCGUCUCGUCACCACAGUUCAGCGCCCGCCCUGAUAAGGCAGGCUGCAACAGCUGAGCGAUGUGAGGCACCUCCAGCCUGGCGCGGCCGUGCUCACAAGACACAAAAGACACUUAUCUGGCAAUAUACACAUUUUCAAAGGGGGCGUGCGCUGACUAGGAUUGAAACCUUGUUUACUGUCAAUCCUACAGACUAAAUUUUAAAAGACUUUUACUGUCCAUAGAAAGACGCGUUUUUUGCACACCUCAACCGGAUGGAGAUUUGAAUCCAGUAAGUUAGAAAUUAACAUUCUGUUUCUGGACAAUUAUUUUUUGGCUAUCAUUAGGAUGCAAAUUCCUCACGCGCUAGAUUCCUAUCUGCAUCCGGUUCACACUGAUAAACCAAGUGCUCAACACUUGCAAGUGUGCAACCGCAAGUUCAAUACUUGCAAGUGUUAAACAAUUGCAAGUGUACCACCACUGAUUUAUACUCAAUAUUAGUGCACUUGUAACUGUUUAAUUCUCCUGGAGUACACUUCUCUAGAUCAGGCGCUUAGUGUGAGGGAAGUGUUCAACAGAGGAGUUGCACACUUACAAGUGCACAAAUACCGAGUUGAACAGUUGCAAGUGUACAACUACUGAAUUGAACACUUGCAAGUUAUUGAAUCUGUGGUUGCAUACUUACAGGUGUUGAGCAGUCGAACACUUGGUGUAUCAGUGCAGAUGGGUACAAAAUCGCGUCUUUCUAUGUACAAUAAAAGUCCUUUCAGAUUUAGUGUGAGGUAUUCGGUCGACAACAUCUCCAAUUUUAACGGUAUAACAGGGGGACAGUUUAAACUGCAAAAUUCAAGUCCUGCAUAUUAAAUUGCGAAACAGAAUGGUUCCUCUGUUUGUUUAAACCGCAAACGCAAAACGUUUUUCACUCUUAAUGUCUAAAGACAACUCUGGUAAGGUGCCCUAAUGUGGCCACUGUCCAUUGAUGGCCACUUUUCUCGAUUUCCAGCCAAUCUGGUCACUGUACAAUCUUGGCCUUCAAGUUGUGUUCUAGUAAGGUCCCUACUUGGGCAUAAAAAGACACACUACUACAUAUCGUUGUCUACAUUACAAGAAAAAGGGGUGGCCAUCAUUGGGCAGGCCCAUUCUUAAGGUGGCCAUCAUAGGGCAUCUUACCCUAUUGUAAAUAGCACUGGACUUCUGUUGCAGCGAACUAAGUGAUGAGUUCAGAUACCAUAUUGUAACUUGCAAUUACACCUUUAGUAACACGCUUGAUGCAAUACUGUACCUGAAGUCAGUUGUGCUAGCUACAAAAAUUGUACUCAGACAUUAGAGUUUCCAGUAAAACUGCAAAACUAAGUAGUUCUACAGCUUGAACUGUGAAACUUAUUUUUGGGAUCGUUGGAAAAGUCAAAGUGGAAAACGUUUAUUGGAUUUGCAGGGCACUUUCCAGUAAGAAGAAAAACAGAAAAUGGAGCAAAAUAUGUGAUGUUGGUUGAAGUCCCUCUAUCUGCGGAAACGUUUCAGCGCAAAACCGUCCAGAUAUUGGAAAGAAGUAGGUCGAAAGGGGAACACAAGUUUUUGAAAGCAUGAAAAAUGACGAAAGAGUUAGUAGAGAUUGGUACAAACUCCGUUCCUCUGCAUUACUGAGAUUCACUGUUAAAAAUUUCUUGGGAUUUCCCAAAGGUUCACAUUCCACCACUAUUAGAAAUUCCCAGAGGACUCCGUCCUUAGUUUUUGUGUACUAAAACCGUUGUUAAAGGUGGAAGUUUUCAUUCGUCUUUAUGUUUUAAAGCUAAACUUAACACGUGAAAUCUACAGAAUUCUUUGGGAAAUCCCACAAAGGACUUUGGCAAUACCGUGAAAUCCCAGGAUUUUUUGUAACAGUGUUUGUACCAUUUCCCAUAUUGUUUUCGACACUUCAUGAUUUUCAAAAAGCAAUGUCCCUAUGUAGCCUUUUUCUUUACAAAACCUUGCAGUGUAGCUCAAACGGCUCUGAUUUAGGCCCUUGCAGAUCACAUUUCUGGUCCUUUUAUGUUUUUUUUCGUGGCGUAGUAUUGGCAGCUAAAACCAAUGCCAGCCCUAGUCCACACACUAAACCCCUAUGCAUUUUAAAGUGCAUAAACAUGCAGAAUUUUAUACAGCCAACAAACUUUAUCCAUAAUUAUGUACAAACUGAGCAUAAUUAUGCAUGAACUAUACUGUACAUGCAACUGCUAUGCAUAAAAUUGUGCAUAAUAUUAUAGCUGUAUAAAAUUCUGCAUGUGUAAGACCAACACAAUGCAUGCAUAAGGAUUUAAUGUGUGCAUACGUUCCUUGCAAUAUGGAUCGCCUCUAGCGAAUGUUGUAAGCGUCGUUCAGCCUACGGCCGAAUUCUAUUCUAACAAGAAAGGCAGGGAGAAUAUAAGUCGUACCGCGUCCUAAUGCACCUUGACUAAGACUGUUGGAUUCCCAGAACGUGCUCACCGCUUUCUCUUUGGCUGCCGACUGGCAGACACCCGCACACUUAACCACCGCCUUCUUCAGUGUUUUACGUACGCACAAACUCGUACGCAUCCGCCGGUUCUUUAGGAGGGGUAUUUUAUGACUGACAAUCAGUCUACAUACGAACUUGUAGUGAGUAGUGGAGAAGCACACGGGUCCAACUGAUUGGUGAGAAAGCGUGGCCUAUUGAUAGAAAGAACAGUUAUGGCACCACGACUAAUACUAUCGGCGUUUCCUAGACUACAUGUUCACUCUCUGGCAGGCAACCGGCCGGCACCAGUCUCUGGUCCCGCCUCACAAGCCGUGGUCCAUGCCGCCCUGUGGGUACCCGUCACAGCCGCACUCGCAGUUCCACUGGCUCCUGCCUGCACAGCCCCCUCUCGUCCGGUCCGCACUCGCUGCAAGUCGCCUGAUAGCACUGCAACGCGGCGGGUCAGUCAGCGUGGAGGAGGGUGUCGUCCUGUCGUAGGGCUCAGACUCACCUUGCGACCUAGCUGCCUCGGCACGGGCAAGCCAGGGCGAGCGGCAGCAGCACCGUGGUGCCGGGAAGGAGUACGAAUGGUUGUUGUCAGUGUCAUUUUUCAAGUGCUGCUAUGAAUGUGCCUCAUUCAGGCAAGAGGUAAUCUUCGGGAGAGUUGAACCAGAAAUCGACUGCGUAGUACUAAUUGGCCUUGUAUCUUCAGAAGGCUGGUAAAAUACAGGCCCGACCUACUCCUUCACCAUUGUCGCUGGUCUCCUCGCUGUUCCCCCUGGGCCCAGGGACUCUUCCACGCCGUCCUCGGCUACGUGGGGGUCGAUGGACAAACGCGGAUCUAAAGAAGAAAGUGCGAGAUAUGGCGGUUUUCGUACUGGUUAAGACUGAGAGCGGAUAGAAAAAAAGAUUGUUAUCGAGAAUGUACGUAAGCCUAGGAUUCAAUCGAUAUACAUGCGCAACUUACCAUGUCACCAGAAUCGCAUCCCCAUCCCGUGACUGAAGGUCAGUCAAUGGCCGCAGCCCUGGCGAGUACUUAAGAAGCACAAGGGUUCAAUUGCAUCACAAGAAACAUAUGUAUUACGAGGAGGGGGCACAAAAUUAUACCAGCCCGCCGUACCCGGGGUCACCGAGCACAGGGGGUCGUGGGCACCCACGUGACCUCUGCUGGGCCCUUGACAAGUUUCCGUUCCAUAGUGGCUGGCCGGAUGCAGAUGCGCCGUGCGGUCGGCCGCGGCCCAGGCUGAGGCCCUCGCACAACAGAGUUUUGGCCCGUUUGCUGAAAACCUGGAAUUCAAAUUGUGUUCCAGAGUAAAACGGGUUUUAUUGCAAAUUCAACAAUAAACUGUUAGGAGAAAAAUGAUCGGAACUUAGGAGAACGAUUCAAAUUUUGUUGUCUGCUUUGCUUUGACAAAUCAAGAGACGGACAGCACGAUUGGUACUUGACGUCUAUUUCCAUAUGAUAUUUCUGCAGGGCAGUACAUUUAAGCUGCACUACAGCCCAUCCUGGGUAAAAAUGGUUGCUAUACAAAUUUUAUAAAAUUUUAUAAAAAUUUAUAAAAUGUUGUAAAAAGGUAUACACCAUUAUGAAAUUUUAUUAACGUUUAUUAUAUUUGAUAAAAUAAUAUACAGAGGUCUGUAUACGUUUUUAUAAAAUCGAGCACAAUGUUGUAUAAGCUUUUAUAGAAGUGUAUACAGACCUCUGUAUAAAGUUUUACAAAAUAUAGUAAACAUUUAUAAAAUUCCAUUUAAAUUUUUAUAACGGUGUAUACCAUUUUAUCAGAUUUUAUAAAUUUUUAUAACAUUUUACAAAAUUUGUAUACAAACCAUUUUUAUCCGGGAUGUUGGAAUGGCGUUGGAACUGCUUCCUACCUGCUCACGUUAAACAAAUAGUGUUAUGACUGGCAAUCAGUUUACGGGCGAAUCUUCAAGUGAGUAGUCAGGAAGCACACAGGUACGAUUGCUCAGAGAUAAGGUGGUUUAUUCAGGAAAAAGGGCUGUGGUUAUACAGGGGCCCUACCUACCUCGACUAAUACUAUUGAUCAUCCCUAGACGACCUCACCGCUCUAGUUCACUCUCUGGCAGGCAACCGGCACACUCCCACAGUCACACGUCCACACUUAUUCAACUCCGGGUACCAACUCAUGUUCGGUCCUGCCGCGGAGUACUCGCGACGGUCCUCCUUACCCUGGGUCACCGAGUGGAGGGGGUCGUGAUAAGGGCCCCCACGUGACCAGGACCGGCCCUAAACAGAUUUCCGUUCGAAAGUGGGCGUAUGAGGCUGAGGGCCUCGUACAACAAUAGCUGUUGGAGAUACACUGCACUGGAAGUAACGAAACAGUAAGUUACAUAGGGCCGAUAACACUAAGACGAAAGUCAGUUAUACUAACAGCAUGGGACCGGCCUUUGAUAAGCUACCUUGCUACUUCCGUUCAAGAGUGGGCAUUGGGCAAAUACCGGGCGGAUGCAGAUGCAUCUUCUCAUGGCCCGAUGUGGGUGUCAUUUAAAAGAGUGUUCUGCAGUGAUUGUGUUUUUACCAAUAAUCAGAGUGAGUAAGAGUGCCAUCGAAGCGGUUUUGUUUCGGUGUUAUUGUUAUCAGAUAAGGAAGGUAAGCGUUUAUCCAUGUGGUUUUGUUUUCGGCUAUUUGUCCGUCUCAUGUGUCUCCAGUUUAAGUUGCUGAAAACAACAGCUGGCCCAUCCUUCUACCCAACGAAUUCGCCAGGUUCACUCCGCCUGGAAACUCUGUUCAGCACGGGUCCAACGUGCUUUUUGGCUUGGCGGCAACGAUUGGCCUUUAAGUCUUUCAUCACUCUUCCACUGCCUUACUGCCCUUGGACAGGUAGGAAUAACGGCGUGGUACCCUGACUACCCCCAACCUUGCUGCUGCUUUAAAAUGUAAAUAUAAGAGCAGCUUUCAGCUCGUAUACACACUAAAACAAAUGUAUCUAUUUUAGCUCUGAAAUGGUUUACCAUAAGACAGAAGCGAAGAGUGCUUUCGGUUCAGAAACUCCAAUUUGGGGGGGGGGGGGGGAGAUUUAUAGAUUAUAGGGCUUCUUGUGAGUUCCCAUCUUGGUACCUGAGUAUUUUGUUGACUUGGUUCCUAUGAUUUCCUAUGAUUUCGAUGAUUAAUUCUUGAUUAUUCCCGUCUGAUAUCCGAACUCCGGACCGGUGCACGCAUAAUUCUGAGGGUUACUGCUGCCGCUGGACGAGAUAAACAGGCUGGGGUCACCAAUAACACACGCCUUAUCAUCCCUCUCCAGAGCGUAGUCACAGAGGCAGUCGCGUCACGUUUUGGACGAAUUUAUUUGAUUUGAUAAUUGAGAAGUGGCGUUUGGUUUCAGCCCUGCAUUACGCAGCAAGUCCCACUAGUAUGUGAAACUCAACCCACAAGGGCACAUGCCACGUCAUAUUUCCCCUUUUCCCUUCGUACGAUGAGUUGCUAUGCGUGAUUCCGACCCAUUUUACAGUAAUACCAGCGCUCAGUCGCUGUAAUCUCCGUCAGCAGAGUGGAAGUACAUCAUCAGUAGUGCUCCGGAUAGGGAGCGCAGACGCUAACAUACAGGCCAGCUGACGAACUACUGCGAUGAACUUUGUGAUUGGCAACAAAAACAAGAAUGAAGCAAUCGGUCGCAAAUUUUCUUAUUUUGGUUGCUAUAUGUGAAGGGGAGAGACUUGCGGGCCCGUACAUAAACGUGCCGGAGCACGCAGAGCCGUGUCCGCCCGCUCUCCUCGACAUUCCUUUUGACCUGAGUGUCCGUCUAGUCCGUGAUCGUCAGGAUGUCCACAUCAAAUACGUCUUCGCCAACUUGACACUGAAUAUCAGCUUUGAUGAUGACUUGGA